CCUACGGGGGGCAGCAGUGGGGAAUAUUGGGCAAUGGACGCAAGUCUGACCCAGCAACGCCGCGUGAAGGAAGAAGGCUUUCGGGUUGUAAACUUCUUUUAAGGGGGAAGAGCAGAAGACGGUACCCCUUGAAUAAGCCACGGCUAACUACGUGCCAGCAGCCGCGGUAAUACGUAGGUGGCAAGCGUUGUCCGGAUUUACUGGGUGUAAAGGGCGUGCAGCCGGAGAGACAAGUCAGAUGUGAAAUCCACGGGCUCAACCCGUGAACUGCAUUUGAAACUGUUUCCCUUGAGUGUCGGAGAGGUAAUCGGAAUUCCUUGUGUAGCGGUGAAAUGCGUAGAUAUAAGGAAGAACACCAGUGGCGAAGGCGGAUUACUGGACGAUAACUGACGGUGAGGCGCGAAAGCGUGGGGAGCAAACAGGAUUAGAUACCCCAGUA
rnacentral:rRNA from 1 species